rnacentral:rRNA from 1 species
AGUGAACGCUGGCGGUAGGCCUAACACAUGCAAGUCGAACGGCAGCACAGUAAGAGCUUGCUCUUACGGGUGGCGAGUGGCGGACGGGUGAGGAAUACAUCGGAAUCUACUUUUUCGUGGGGGAUAACGUAGGGAAACUUACGCUAAUACCGCAUACGACCUACGGGUGAAAGCAGGGGAUCUUCGGACCUUGCGCGAUUGAAUGAGCCGAUGUCGGAUUAGCUAGUUGGCGGGGUAAAGGCCCACCAAGGCGACGAUCCGUAGCCGGUCUGAGAGGAUGAUCAGCCACACUGGAACUGAGACACGGUCCAGACUCCUACGGGAGGCAGCAGUGGGGAAUAUUGGACAAAGGGCGCAAGCCUGAUCCAGCCAUACCGCGUGGGUGAAGAAGGCCUUCGGGUUGUAAAGCCCUUUUGUUGGGAAAGAAAAGCAGCAGGUUAAUACCCCGCUGUUCUGACGGUACCCAAAGAAUAAGCACCGGCCAACUUCGUG